AUCCCGUGGUGAGGGCAUCUUCGAAGUAAAUAUUUGAAUCUUUCCUACGCCUCGUAUUAGGACUCGUCAUCCAGUUGUUGAAAAGUGGUAAUCUCAUUCCGCAACU
rfam:Gossypium arboreum cultivar AKA8401 contig_42423_7, whole genome shotgun sequence.